rnacentral:lncRNA from 1 species
AAAGUGGCUCACUUCUUUUUGUCCAAAUUCCUCUUCGUUAGACGUGAUCUUUUAGUUCUCAUACAGAAGGCUUUGCCUACUGCAGCUGUGUUUGUGGUUAACAUGCCUAUUUUGCUGUUUCCCAUUAUUGUAGUGGCAAUAUUCCCUUCCACUGCAGGAGAUGGGGAGAAGGGAGAUAGAUUGGUUCCAGGUCUAAGAGAAACAUUUUUACUCAACCAACCAUUUUGAGCAUCUUCUAAACCCAUCGUUAGCCACCUAGAGACAUGAUUAACGUGAGGAGUUCGGGCCAGAAGAACUGUCUGUGUUCUUUAGGCAAACCUCACAUCAGAAAAGAUGACCCACAUGCAAUGUAUUUCAAGUACUGUGUCUGUAUAUAUAAUGAUACAAGGGAAAAUGAUACCUUUUCCCAUUUAAAUGAACAGUUUAGCUGUGCCUACAAAUAGUCUGUAGAUAGAAAUAGGGUGUAUUUUUGUCCCUAUAUAUACAUAUAUAUAUAUAUGAAAUAUAUAUAUGUAUAUAUAUACAGUUCAUGUAUAUAAAUAUAUCUAUACAGAUGAAGUGUAAUUCCUUAAUGAAGCUCAUAGCUCACUUGGCAGCCUCCGUGGCUAAGGUCAAUGGCAGUGUGUAGUCCACCCAUGGCUGGAGGCCAUGAAUCCACAAAUGAUUUAAACUGGGAUCUCAGCCUUUUCACUAGAAUGGAAUUAAAAUAUCUAAUUAUAACAUUAUUUUAGAACUAGUAGUGGAAUCUAUUUUUGUUAGUUUUCCUUGCAAUAUGCAGUUGAGGCAAUUAAAACUUGCUUGUAAUUCCUGUAGGUUUUGCAGUGCAGUUAACGUUUUGUGGUGUGUUUCUAUGCUACGAAAUCACAGUUCUCUCUGAAUCCAUAUCUUGAUUGGUUAUUAUGAUCUUCAUCAUUCCCUAACUCAUAUAAUUCCCUGUGGUUUAUAUCGCUGUCAACAUUAGAAGAUAGAAACCAGGGAGCAUUGUGUUGUGCUGUCCACAGAGACUGGAAUAAGUGCAACACUUGGAAGUGCAACAUGUCAGUACUCCUAAGAAUGUGGUUGGAGUAAGUUUAUUUAGACUAGAUUUAUCUUCAGUUCCAAUGUCCUCUAGAGCACGUGCUGCUCCUUAGCCAGCCUGCCUGUUAAGUAAUGUAGCUCACUGCAGCCAAGUCUGGAAGUUUCAAAAUAUCAGUUGGAUUCUUUCAGUCUGCUUAGAAGAGAAAAGGCUAAAUAAAGCCAAGGGAUGAGAUGUAAGAGGUGAGGCAGUUAGCAUGGCCUGCUGUUACAGCUACCUGCUGAUUAUCAUUACAUGCCCCUGAUUUGGGUUGCUGUAAUAUGUUCCAACUGCAUUUUCCAUUUUCUAGGGCAGAUGUCCCCCUCACAACUGAUUAAAAUACAUAUAUGUUUGGAACCAUUUCAGCAGAGUUAGCUCAGCCAUUUCCAAGAAGGAUGCAAUGGGGGCAGAAGCAGGGCCUUCACUGCCCCACAGUUUGUUCUCCCUUCUAGCUGAGAUGCCGGUGUGCUACAGAAGGCCUUGAAGACAAGGCAGCUCCGAGGGCAGCCCAGGCGCUGCCAUGGAUGCUGUAGCUCUGUCCCUCUGAGGGUAGUAUGGGGAGAGGUGAGCCCAUGAGGAACAGCGUCGUGCUUUACUCAAAGCAGAGGAUGAAUGAGAUGUGGUCGUGCCACAGACUGCACUGAACCUGGAGGAUAUAAUGUUGAAUAUCUGUUUAUUCCUUAUCUACUGGCUAAUCGGUGCACCGCAGAAGGGUCUGACAGGGAAACGCUCGUAUUCCUUUACUAUAGGGUUCUGGGUGUUUGUGAAUUUGUAUGUGAACGUCUGGGUGAAAAAGUGGAGGAAAUGAAUAAUGCAGAGGUUCAAAUCUGGAGAUUAUGCAUAAAGUGAGAACAGAGUUUGACCUUUAACUGCUCGCAGAAUAAAUGCACAGCUUUCUCUGUCUGGGAAAAGUAAUAGAGGGCAUCAUUUUCAAAAAACCGAAAUAGGUAUUUUAGGAGUAAGACUGUAUAUCUUGAUGUCAUAAAACUCAGAAUGUACAAAUUGAUACUCUGUGGGGAUCAAAGAAAGAAAAAAUUAACUCCCGUUAAAUAAUUUUUAGAAGUCUUUCUUCAGUUAAUCUGGUAGCCCUGUAAUGAGUUCAUGCACCUGAACACAGCUUUGUUGUAGCUGGGUGGGGGAAGAAGGCGUCUGUCAGCUCUGUAAAAUUGGAAUUAUUUGAAAUGGGGUCAGCCAGCCAAUCUGUGGGGCAACCAGUCAUAAAAGUCUGCCAGAGACGUAGUCUAAUGUCUCUUCUCGUAAAUUUUAUUCAUUGUCUGUAAUGAUUUUACCAUAUAUAUAUAUAUACAUACACAUCUAGGCUAACCUUUACUGGUCAGGACUGAUUUAUUGCUGUAGGUAUCUAUAUCAAAGGUCUGGAUGGCAAAACACGUGCUAAUGACAAGCCGUGUCUACACUGUAAGCCAAGUGGAAUUUUUGAAGAACGUAAAGGUUACUUUUAGAAAGGACUGUCCCCUGGCCGCCAUCCAGGCUUUCCAGUCACUGAAGUUUUUAGACAAGUUCUUGGCUUUAAAUACAUGGCGAAAACCCCUUGAAGCAUGUACCGAAGGCAGAGCCUUAUUCUUUGACUGAGGUUGGGGGGUGGGGGAUACCCCAGACCCGCACAGCUCACAGCCAUGCCUGGUUGAGCUCGGGGAGCUCAACUGCUAGAAAUCCCCCAAAUCACGCAGCCAACCUGGGCUGGGGGUGGGUAGGGGGCUGUAGGGCACAUCCUGCACUGUGGUUGUGAGUGCUAAUGAGAUGGCGGUGGUCCUAUGCCCUCUGCCUUCAGGAGAUGGUGGUUUUCAUUCAGUUUGCUCAGCGCUGCCCUUUGCCAGGUGGGCGGGAGUGUGGUCAGUGCUCAGGGUGAUGGGAUACUGCCCUAGAGCCAGUAAAUAGCUGCGUGUGUUUCUUAAACAUCUCUGCUUUCAUGAAGCGUGGGCUUUCCUGGGGAGGGUGGAGUGGCUGAUCUGAUAGUCAUCUGCUCAAGUGGUUGAAAGGAAAUUCUAAUUACUCAGCCUUUGCUGUGGGCUCCGCAUGCUCCAGUUUACCCAGAACUCAUUGCUCAGGGAUAAAACCCAACCUUGACAAAGUCAGUAAGUUCUGCCCAAGCUGCCUGAAUUUCCCCCCAAAGCACAGCUCUGUGCCCUAAUG